GAUGAACGCUGGCGGCGUGCCUAAUACAUGCAAGUCGAGCGAACAGACGAGGAGCUUGCUCCUCUGACGUUAGCGGCGGACGGGUGAGUAACACGUGGAUAACCUACCUAUAAGACUGGGAUAACUUCGGGAAACCGGAGCUAAUACCGGAUAAUAUAUUGAACCGCAUGGUUCAAUAGUGAAAGACGGUUUUGCUGUCACUUAUAGAUGGAUCCGCGCCGCAUUAGCUAGUUGGUAAGGUAACGGCUUACCAAGGCAACGAUGCGUAGCCGACCUGGGAGGGUGAUCGGCCACACUGGAACUGGGACACGGUCCAGACUCCUACGGGAGGCAGCAGUAGGGAAUCUUCCGCAAUGGGCGAAAGCUUGACGGAGCAACGCCGCGUGAGUGAUGAAGGUCUUCGGAUCGUAAAACUCUGUUAUUAGGGAAGAACAAAUGUGUAAGUAACUAUGCACGUCUUGACGGUACCUAAUCAGAAAGCCACGGCUAACUACGUG
rnacentral:rRNA from 1 species